UCCUACGUGAGGCAGCAGUGGGGAAUUUUGGACAAUGGGCGCAAGCCUGAUCCAGCCAUGCCGCGUGGGGGAAGAAGGCCUUCGGGUUGUAAACCGCUUUUGUCGGGGAAGAAAUAGAUUGGUUUAAUACCAACAGAGUAAUGACCUACCCGCCGGAAGAGCCCCCGAUGU
rnacentral:rRNA from 1 species